rnacentral:rRNA from 1 species
GAUGAACGCUGGCGGCGUGCCUAAUACAUGCAAGUCGAGCGAACAGAUGAGGAGCUUGCUCCUCUGACGUUAGCGGCGGACGGGUGAGUAACACGUGGAUAACCUACCUAUAAGACUGGGAUAACUUCGGGAAACCGGAGCUAAUACCGGAUAAUAUAUUGAACCGCAUGGUUCAAUAGUGAAAGACGGUUUUGCUGUCACUUAUAGAGGGAUCCGCGCCGCAUUAGCUAGUUGGUAAGUUAACGGCUUACAAAGGCAACGAUGCGUAAACGACGUGCGGGGGUGGUAGGCCACCCUGGAUCGGAACCACGGUCCAGACUACUACGGGAGGGAGCAGAAGGGUAUCUUCCGCAGUGGGAGAAAGCCUGGCGGAGAACCGCCGAGUGAGUGAUAGAGGUCUUGGGAUCGUAAAACUAUGUUAUUAGGGAAGAACAAUUGUGUAAGUAACUAUGCACGUAUUGACGGUACCUAAUCAGAAAGCCACGGCUAACUACGUG